AGCUCGCUGGCGUAGUGGUAGCGCGUCAUCUUGCACUUCGUUCUUCCCACUGCUUCGCAUCAAGGUCGUCAGUUCGAUUCUGACGGGAGCUA